GAUGAAGAACGUAGUGAAAUGCGAUACUUGGUGUGAAUUGCAGAAUCCCGUGAACCAUCGAGUCUUUGAACGCAAGUUGCGCCUGAAGCCACUAGGCCGAGGGCACGCCUGCCUGGGCGUCACACGCCGUUGCCCCCCCAUCUACUCCUUCGGGAUUGCGGGGGGGCGGAUGAUGGCCUCCCGUGCGCCUAGCCGCGCGGUUGGCAUAAAUACCAAGUCCUCGGCGACGCACGCCACGACAAUCGGUGGUUGCGAAACCUCGGUUGCCCGUCGUGUGCGUUCGUCGCGCAUCGAGGGCUCGAAAAAAUGCUCGGCUCCGGCUGGGCUUUCAACGCGACCCCAGGUCAGGCGGGGUUACCCGCUGAAUUUAAGCAUAUCAAUAAGCGGAGGA
rnacentral:misc_RNA from 1 species